ACGAACGCUGGCGGCGUGCUUAACACAUGCAAGUCGAACGGAAAGGCCCUGCUUGCAGGGUGCUCGAGUGGCGAACGGGUGAGUAACACGUGGGUGAUCUGCCCUGCACUUCGGGAUAAGCCUGGGAAACUGGGUCUAAUACCGGAUAGGAGCCAUUUUUAGUGUGAUGGUUGGAAAGUUUUUUUCGGUGUAGGAUGAGCUCGCGGCCUAUCAGCUUGUUGGUGGGGUAAUGGCCUACCAAGGCGGCGACGGGUAGCCGGCCUGAGAGGGUGGACGGCCACAUUGGGACUGAGAUACGGCCCAGACUCCUACGGGAGGCAGCAGUGGGGAAUAUUGCACAAUGGGCGCAAGCCUGAUGCAGCGACGCCGCGUGGGGGAUGACGGCCUUCGGGUUGUAAACUCCUUUCGCUAGGGACGAAGCUUUUUGUGACGGUACCUAGAUAAGAAGCACCGGCUAACUACGUG
rnacentral:rRNA from 1 species